rnacentral:rRNA from 1 species
CCUACGGGUGGCAGCAGUGGGGAAUAUUGGACAAUGGGCGCAAGCCUGAUCCAGCAAUGCCGCGUGAAUGAUGAAGGCCUUAGGGUUGUAAAGUUCUUUUAGUAGGGAAGAUAAUGACGGUACCUACAGAAAAAGCCCCGGCUAACUCCGUGCCAGCAGCCGCGGUAAGACGGAGGGGGCUAGCGUUGUUCGGAAUUACUGGGCGUAAAGAGCGCGUAGGCGGUUUAAUAAGUUGGGAGUGAAAGCCCAAAGCUUAACUUUGGAAUAGCUUUCAAAACUGUUAGGCUAGAGUGUGGUAGGGGGUGAUGGAAUUCCUAGUGUAGAGGUGAAAUUCUUAGAUAUUAGGAGGAACACCGGUGGCGAAGGCGGUCACCUGGGCCAUAACUGACGCUAAUGCGCGAAAGCGUGGGGAGCAAACAGGAUUAGAUACCCCGGUAGUC